UCCUGGGAAGCAGGUGGAGAAAUGGACAACUCAGACUGCAGCAGGCUAACAUUAUUUAGAAGAGAGUAGACAAUGGGGGAUGCGUGAAAAAAAGUAACCAGCUGCUGCAAUAAACAACAAGUUACAUUCAGUUUUGCAUUCCUGGCCAGAACACAGCCCUUCAAGUAAACACAGCAGUCGCCUGAAAGGGUCCAUCAUGUCGUGGAAUGUGUUGAUAAUUGGGCUGAUUUGGAUACUAAUAGCAGGGGGCUCUCCACCGCCAGGUAAAAAUCCAGAUGAUCCUCAUGGAAGCAGCCCUGAAGGUAAGUGUUAUCAACUUCAGGUCAAGUGUAACCUGGGCCAGGUACGAGCUAAUGUUGCUGCAGCGUGUACCCACCACAGUAAGGUGCCAUAGGCAUCAAAGAAACAGGCAGCAGGUAGGAAUCUCUGACCAUACUUACUUGUUUUUAUUAUUAUUGUCAUUUACUCAGAGGUAUCUAACUACUUCAACAUCAGCAUAAUGAUCAGUUCAAACAAUGGUACAUAUCAAAUUCCUCUUGUUAAACAAUGGUAUUGUCACUACCUAUGUGCUGAUUGGAAACCAACAUCCCCAGAACUUGUCAAUUUUCAAAGGAAGAAAUUACAAACAUGUUCUAAGGAAGCAGGCAGUUCUCGAUAUCGAAAUUAUACUUAAUCCAAAAAAAAACAACACUAGCUUUAAUGUAGUGGCAAUUGAUGUAACAUUAGCCAGCUUUCUGGAAGUUAAAAAAAUGUAACUUUCUAAAAUGCACCUUCAAGUGCAGAAUGAGCUGCUUCUAUAUCCUUUCGAUUUUUUCAUUUUUGUGCUCCUGAAUGGUGUGGAUUUGAAACCAUCUCAUUAACAGAAAAUUAUGAGAUCAUUUGACUAUCAUCAACAUUAAUUUCAUAAUUCACAAAACAGCAAUAACCCAAACAGAGCUCUGCUCCAUUGAGGAGGUUGUCACUUUGCAUUAUACUUUAGUGAUGUCACAUGGUGUGCUCUGUUACACGAUACAGUUAAGAUUAGAGUUGCGGGUGGAGUUAUCUGGUUCAAGUCAAAUAAACCAAGUUACUGCUGUCCAGCAGAGCUCUUGAAUCACAAAGGUCUGUGAACCAACAUUGGUCAUCUGGUCACAAACCCACACCGAGUGCGUGAUCUGCAUAUAGAAAGGGAUGGCUCUGCUCUCCAGUAAGCACACAGAUGCUAUAACAGAACUAACAAAAUGAAUGAAAGCAAGAAUGGGUGUUAUUCAUUUAAAAGUCUUUGAAUGUUAUUUUAAUGUUAAUUACUGUUUAUCAUGUUACUAAUACUGUUUACCAUUGUUUACUCAAUGCUGUUUUAUCAUGGUUGUGUCCAAAUUAUUUUGAUAACAAUAUGCUUGCUAUGCAUGUGAACAUUGUCACGCUGUGAGUGUAUAAAGAUGGUAGCACACUGCAUUGGUAUCUUCACAAACAAUCAGCAGAUAAUACCCACACCAAAGAGCCUCUUUGUCUGGACACUGUUCAAGGAUUGGAUGUAGAAAGUACACAGAGGGACUACAUAAGAAAGGGCAGAGCAGACUCUUUUUUUCCUUAGGAGACUGCAUCUGUUAAUGUGGGAAGUGACUUCCUCCACAUCUUCAACAACUCUCUGAUGGCCAGUGCGAUUUUCUAUGCUGUGGUGUGGUGGGCUUGUAACAUCACUUUAAAAGAGGCCCACCGGAUCAACAAGAUAAUUAAAACAGUAGGGUUAGUUAUGGGACCCACACUGGAUCCUCUGGAGAGAGUAGAAGAGAAGAGAAGUAAAAACGAUUAUGCGAUUAUGAACAACGCUGCACAUGGUUUCUCUGACACCCCAACACUGAGGACUUUCAGCCAACGAAUCACUCAGUAGAAGUGUGUCAAGAAACAUUAUGGGGGCUCCUUUACACCAACAGUGAUAUCUCUGCUUAAUACCUCAUUUUGACUAAAACUGCCAAGUCAGAUGUUUUCUAUCUUUUGAAUUUUCUUGCUUUAUAGUCAUUCCGAUGUGUGUUCAGAUGAAAGUAUGUGUGUAUUAUUUAUUUACUUAUCUAUUUAUGUGUUUUUUUAUUUAAAGAGCUUCUGUAAAAAGCCAAAUUUCCCCCAGGGGACAAAUAUACACUGUAGGUUGUUCGUUCGUUUGUUCUAUCUACUGUAAAAGAGUAAGCAAUAAACAACAUAAAGGUUUGGGGUUUCCGGCCCCGUAUAUUGUAAUAUUUUCCACGUUUUCUCAGGUCAGUGUACAUAAAAAUGAAAUUUCCAGUUGUAAAGAAUUCCACGUACAGUCGAAAAAGCUUUGGGGUUUUUCCGGCCCCGUAUAUUGUCUACACACUUCAGACAAUAAAAAAACAGGUCAAAAACAGAAGAAACAAAACAUUC